GACACUGCAGUGUUUCUCCUGUGGUGGAUGCUUGGGAAACUGGGAAGGAGAUGACACCUGGAAGGAGCAUGCCAAGUGGUUCCCCAAGGAGAAUAUUUUGUGAAUUCCUGGGUCAGAAGAGAACUACCUGUGGUGUCAGCUUACUGCAAUGACAGUGUCUUUGCUAAUGAAGAACUAAGGAUGGACACAUUUAAGGACUGGCCCCACAAAUCACCUGUGGCUAUUGAAGCUCUGGUCAAAGCAGGUCUUUUCUACACAGGCAAAAAGGACAUUGUCCGGUGUUUUUCCUGUGGAGAUGUUUGGAGAAGUGGGAGGAAGGUGAGGACACAAUA